CCACCGCGCCUGGCCUGAAGCAGUGCUUUAAGAGGCUAACACAGAAGGGUAAAGUAAGUUUCCAUAAAACCCAGAGAAGAAAUUAUAAAACUCCUCUUUGGAUCCUGUCUGGAGUCACAGCU
rnacentral:snoRNA from 1 species